rnacentral:rRNA from 1 species
UACAGAGGGGGCAAGCGUUGUUCGGAAUUACUGGGCGUAAAGGGCGCGUAGGCGGCCUGUUAAGUCGAACGUGAAAUCCCCGGGCUCAACCCGGGAACUGCGUCCGAUACUGGCAGGCUUGAAUCCGGGAGAGGGAUGCGGAAUUCCGGGUGUAGCGGUGGAAUGCGUAGAGAUCCGGAAGAACACCGGAGGCGAAGGCGGCUUGCUGGGCUCGGUCUGACGCUGAGGCGCGAAAGCGUGGGGAGCGAACAGG